UGGGGAAUAUUGGACAAUGGGCGCAAGCCUGAUCCAGCCAUGCCGCGUGGGUGAAGAAGGCCUUCGGGUUGUAAAGCCCUUUUGUUGGGAAAGAAAAGCAGUCGGUUAAUACCCGAUUGUUCUGACGGUACCCAAAGAAUAAGCACCGGCUAACUUCGUGCCAGCAGCCGCGGUAAUACGAAGGGUGCAAGCGUUACUCGGAAUUACUGGGCGUAAAGCGUGCGUAGGUGGUGGUUUAAGUCUGUUGUGAAAGCCCUGGGCUCAACCUGGGAAUUGCAGUGGAUACUGGGUCACUAGAGUGUGGUAGAGGGUAGCGGAAUUCCCGGUGUAGCAGUGAAAUGCGUAGAGAUCGGGAGGAACAUCCGUGGCGAAGGCGGCUACCUGGACCAACACUGACACUGAGGCACGAAAGCGUGGGGAGCAAACAGG
rnacentral:rRNA from 1 species